rnacentral:tRNA from 1 species
GGUAAAAUGGCUGAGUAAGUAUUAGACUGUAAAUCUAACCACAGAGAGNAAUCUCUUUUUACCA